rnacentral:rRNA from 1 species
GACGAACGCUGGCGGCGUGCCUAACACAUGCAAGUCGAGCGGAGGUAUUCAAGGAGCAAUCUGCGGAUACUUUAGCGGCGGACGGGUGAGUAACGCGUGAGCAACCUGCCUUUCACAGGGGGAUAAGGCGGCGAAAGCCGCUCUAAUACCGCAUGAGACCCCGGUGGUGAUACCACAGUGGUCAAAGGAGCAAUCCGGUGAGAGAUGGGCUCGCGUCCGAUUAGGUAGUUGGUGGGGUAAAGGCUCACCAAGCCAAUGAUCGGUAGCCGGCCUGAGAGGGUGAACGGCCACAUUGGAACUGAGAGACGGUCCAAACUCCUACGGGAGGCAGCAGUGGGGAAUAUUGGGCAAUGGGGGAAACCCUGACCCAGCAACGCCGCGUGAGGGAAGAAGGUUUUCGGAUUGUAAACCUCUGUUCUUGGGGAAGAGCAGAAGACGGUACCCAAGGAGGAAGCCCCGGCUAACUCCGUG